GAUUAGUGGCUCAGGACGAACGCUGGCGGCGUGCCUAACACAUGCAAGUCGAGCGGAGUUAACAAGAGGAAGUUUCGGAUGGAAUUUGUAAUUUAGCGGCGGACGGGUGAGUAACGCGUGAGCGACCAACCUUGCACAGGGGGAUAACGGACCGAAAGGUUCACUAAUACCGCAUGAGACCACGGUGUUGCAUGACACAGAGGUCAAAGGAGCAAUCCGGUGCAAGACGGGCUCGCGUCCGAUUAGGUAGUUGGUGGGGUAAUGGCCCACCAAGCCUAUGAUCGGUAGCCGACCUGAGAGGGUGAUCGGCCACAUUGGAACUGAGAUACGGUCCAAACUCCUACGGGAGGCAGCAGUGGGGAAUAUUGGGCCAAUGGGGGAAACCCUGACCCAGCAACGCCGCGUGAAGGAAGAAGGUUUUCGGAUUGUAAACUUCUGUCCUUGGUGAAGAGAAGAAGACGGUAGCCAAGGAGGAAGCCCCGGCUAACUACGUGCCAGCCGCCGC
rnacentral:rRNA from 1 species